rnacentral:lncRNA from 1 species
GCUGGGCGUGGCUCCGGCUGCUGCCCCGCGGGCGCGCUGAGGCCUGCAGCUCGCCUUCGGUGCCGGGGAGCGGCUGUUGUGCGUGGCAGAGGGAGGCUGUGUGGGGACGCGGAUGCUGCGGGAGCGGCCCUGGCUGAUGAGCCCCGAGCAGGAGGGCGACUGGGGCAGUGCCUCUGGCCGGGGACUGGGGCUGUGGCAGGAGAGAGGAGGUUCAGAGCUCUGAGUUUAUGGCAGUUGUUGUCAGGGUGGCUGGGAAUCGUCCUCCUUCCAUGGAUGUGCAAUGCCUGGUUCCUGAUGCUGUCCUUUUGCAGGAGUGUGUGCACAGUGGAGACUGGAAGCAGAGCUCUGAGUUUAUGGCAGUUGUUGUCAGGGUGGCUGGGAAUCGUCCUCCUUCCAUGGAUGUGCAAUGCCUGGUUCCUGAUGCUGUCCUUUUGCAGGAGUGUGUGCACAGUGGAGACUGGAAGCAUCUGGCGGAGGUGUGCGAGCACCUGGAGAGUCCGUGCAGCUCUCCUGUCGUGGAUAUGGCUUCAAAUUCGGAGGUGUUUGGUGGUACCGUCAGGGACCUGGUGGCUCUCUCAAGUGGCUGUCGUUAAUCAGCACCAGCUCAUAUGUUAGAUCGAGCCCUGAGGUGGAGGGUCGAGUGAAGUGCUCCCGAGAUGAUUCCCGAGCUAUAAUCUCUCUGUCCUUGCAUAACCUGCGCCCUGAAGACACAGCCCACUACUUCUGUGCUGUUCACACGGGAACAGGAAAUCCUGUAGAUCUCUGACAAAAAUUCCUUCCUGACACAGCCAAGGCUGCAGGAGUCGCAGGGCUGGAAGGUGCUGGUGAGGCUCUGCUCUGCUCCUGGGGAGUGAUGGGAUGUCAAGCACACCACACCACACCACAGAUGGCCCUGUCCUUUCUGCAGGAGUUCCUUUUCCAUCACCACUCCUUUCCUCCUCCGGAGCCCAAAAAGCAGUAUUGUAACAUGGGGAUUAUGUGCAGCAUAUUUCUGGGGUGUGUGCGCAGCCCAGGAUUGUGGAAGCUGGAGGUGGUCUACGAGAACCUGGAGAGUCUGUGCCCCUCUCCUGCCAGGGAUUUGGCUCCAACUUCAGAAGUUACCAUGUUUUUUGGUACCGUCAGGCACGCAGUGGCCAUCUCGAUUGGCUGUCUUACUCUAGCAGCUUCUCCUCUUACACUUCCUUCAGCCCCGAGAUGGAGCAUCGAGCCACGGCCUCUCGAGACAAUGACCACGCUGUGACAUCUCUGUCUUUAUGUGCCCUGCACCCCCACGACUCAGCCCGCUACUUUUGUGCCAUUCACACAGAAACAGGAAAUCCUCCUGAGCUUUAACAAAAAUACCCCUUAUUGAACACUGUCAAGUCUGCAGGAGCCACAGGGCUGACAGACACUUGAGUGGCUCUGAAUGUUUCCUGGACAGUGAGAGGUCGCCGCUGCACAUUACAGAUGGCCCUGUCCAUUCAGCAAAACCUUCUUUCACUUCUCAACACUCCUUUCAUUCUCCUGCGUCACAAAAGCAGUGUUGCAACCUGAAGAUUAUGUUCGGCGUAUUUCUGGUCACCAAAUCAGCUUGGCCACUCUGCCCCCUUUCUGCCUGCAGCAUGUCUGGAUUGGCUUCUGCUUCCCUUUUUCUCUUGGGUACUCAAAAGUAUUUGGGCACUUCUAGCAACAGCACUGCUUGCUUCCAGCAGCAGCCAUGGGCCCUUUCCAUGAGUGUGAGCAAAGCAGGGGAUGAAUAGCUCUGAUGUAGUUUCAGGUGCAUUUUGGAGUGAUGAAAUCCAAAGAAUGAGGUCUGUAGAGAUGCAGUGAGCAGGGCAAACAGAAGCCCUGCAGUGUGAUGGGUUGCUCUGAUUGCAGUGCCUCGUCUUUGUUUCCAUGGAAGCUACAAGAAAUAGAAAGAGCACAAUAACACUAAUUGAUAGAGCAGAUUCUCAGCUCCCAAACGCUAUUUUUCAAUAGUCACCACUAUUAGCUAAGCAUUUUACCAGCAAUUUACAGGAGCCUUCACUUCAUGCUUGUAGAUACCUGCACCAGUGGAAGCAGCACACUGUUUCACAGCUGCUAUGAUGGCAGUUGACCAGGAAAUGUUGCUCACACAGUCCAUCUUUCACCAGUCUGAACAGAUGGAAGAAUGAAGGUGCCAAAUCGGGACGAUCUGUUGUGUGUGUCAGGACCGUAAAGUCAAAAUAAGCUCUGACCACCACAGUCUUCCAAUUGGUAUGGAACCUGGCAUUACGGUGUUGAAAGAGAAUGAUAGUCUUCUUCUCUGACCUGAUUCUGGAAAUUCGAGCCUUCAUCGUUGUCAGUACUGAGACUGAGUGGUAGGAGUUGAUGGAUUGUCCAGGUCCUAGCAAAUCCAGAAGGAUCACCCCUUCCUUUCCUAUCCCAAAACACAGUGCACAUCAGUAUGCCCACUGAGGUCUGUAUCUAGAACUUUUUCUUUGAUAGGGAAUUCUCAUGUUGCCACUCCAUGGACUCUGGCUCUUUUGACUCUGGCUCGUAGUCUUGACUCCACACCGCAUCAUUGGUAAUGAUGAGUUCCAGGAAACUGACACCUGGAGCCUCAUAUGGGUUCAAUUGUUUCUUGCUAAUUGGCAUACAGUGUUCUUUCUGUUCCUGUGUGAGUGUUCAUGGGACCCAGCCUGUGCAAAGUUUGCUAUAUUGCACUGUUGACACCAUUCUUUUCAAUGCAGUGAAGCCAACAUUCAUCUCUCUAUGCAGCUCCCUGGUCAUAAUCCACUGAUUUGAGCAGAUGCGCCAAUCCAGACACAUUUCAUUUUGUGUGUGACAGCUGUGCAUUGCUACUGAGAACAUGACAUAUCAUUUGAGCCCCUGUUGCCAAUGCUGAAACGCAAUACACGCUGCAUCUGCUGUUUGGCCUUUCGUUUCUGGUUCAGCAAGAAUCAAUGAAUGUCAAGGGGGUGCAGUUUGUUCCACAUGGAAACAUCAAAAUCCACACCCUUGUUUCGAGUGGUCUUGAUUUGAAGUAGUAGGCCACAAUCUAUUUUGUAAUGUGUUUUUAGAAAUGGCCGAUUUGAAAAAGUAGAUGUGCCAUAUAUUUUUGUAGUGUAUCUUUAGAAAUACUGUUGUUGAAUUGUUUUAUUAGGUGAUCAGUUCUCGCUAGCAAAAUUGUAAUAGCUUUUGGUGUAGCUAAUAGUUAUGGAUGUAGCAUUACAUACAAGAAAGCAUGUUGUACGUCUGUACUGUUUUGAAGAGAGACCCUCAGCAAAAGAAACAUAAUGAUGAAAGCCAGGGCCUCCACACGAGGCUGAAUUGUCUCACUCUGAGAUUAGGUUGAAAUGCAGCAGGCAGAUGUCACGAUUCUCUCCUCUAUCCUCCUUAUCUUCUAACAACCCAGUGUAUAUCAUUAAAAGUCAAGUUGCCAAGCUUAUUUCUAUCCAGGGUCAAGCAGAUGUCCAGAGCUAAUGGCUGAGUGCUGAGUGAGCGUAAUAGGCUUUCUUCUACUGUGCAUAUAUCUCUGAAUGAAGUUCAUGUGGAGGACAAGGAAGGAAGACCACUGGAUGAAAGACAAGGCUGUCGGUUGGGCUGUCACAGUGCCAAAAGGACUCUAGACGGUAGAAGAGACCAUGGAAUAGAAGACUGGAAACCUCAAAAAUCACUCCCUGAGAUAGGUGUGAAUAUAUUAAUUGUCUCGCGUGUAAUUAAUGAAUAUGUACUAUCUGUGGAAAUAUAAUGGACUCUGAAUCACAUAAUCUUUGAAGUGCUUAUGGUGGAAAUAUCCCCAGUGCUUCUGGUGCUUCUAAUAAAGAAUACUUGACUUCAUGGUAACA